GCUCCUGUAGUUUAGUUGGUCUAAAACAGCGCCCUCUCAAGGCGUAAGCACAGGUUCGAAUCCUGUCAGGGGUG
rnacentral:tRNA from 1 species